GGGAACAUGGCUCAAUGGUAGAGUGCUUGCCUUGCAUGCAUGAGGUCCUGGGUUCUAUUCCUUAGCCCCA
rnacentral:tRNA from 1 species